GCUAGGCGCGGUGGUGCGUGCCUGUAGUCCCAACUACUCAGGAGGCUGAGGCUAGAGGAUCGCUUGAGUCCAGGGGUUUUAGGCUCUAUCACGCUAUGCCGAUUCAGUGUCUGCACUAAGUUGAGCAUCAAUAUGAUGACCUCCUGGGAGGUCGCUUAAGGAGGGGUGAACUGGCCCAGGUCAGAAACGGAGUAGGUCAAAACUCCUGUGCUGAUCAGUAGUAAGAUCGCACCUGUGAAUAGCCACUGCACUCCAGCCUGGGCAACACAGCGAGACCUCGUCUCU
rnacentral:SRP_RNA from 1 species